rnacentral:rRNA from 1 species
GAUGAGCGCUGGCGGCGUGCCUAAUACAUGCAAGUCGAGCGAACGGACGAGAAGCUUGCUUCUCUGAUGUUAGCGGCGGACGGGUGAGUAACACGUGGAUAACCUACCUAUAAGACUGGGAUAACUUCGGGAAACCGGAGCUAAUACCGGAUAAUAUUUUGAACCGCAUGGUUCAAAAGUGAAAGACGGUCUUGCUGUCACUUAUAGAUGGAUCCGCGCUGCAUUAGCUAGUUGGUAAGGUAACGGCUUACCAAGGCAACGAUGCAUAGCCGACCUGAGAGGGUGAUCGGCCACACUGGAACUGAGACACGGUCCAGACUCCUACGGGAGGCAGCAGUAGGGAAUCUUCCGCAAUGGGCGAAAGCCUGACGGAGCAACGCCGCGUGAGUGAUGAAGGUCUUCGGAUCUUAAAACUCUGUUAUUAGGGAAGAACAUAUGUGUAAGUAACUGUGCACAUCUUGACGGUACCUAAUCAGAAAGCCACGGCUAACUACGUG